UCUUGUGGGUGUCUUUAAAUAUA
rnacentral:siRNA from 1 species